UCCGAGUUAGUGUAGUGGUAACAUAACUCGGUUUUAUAAAGCUGAGGCGUCUUGAGAUUCGGGGGGUUUCAGAUGCCCCAGCUUUAUAUUGAGUAGCCCCAGGUUCGACUCCUGGAUUCGGAA